rnacentral:lncRNA from 1 species
ACUACCACAUACGAGAGAAGGAGAGGACACAACUGUCAGGGAGAUGGACUGUUGGAGCUUCAGAGGCAGCAUCUUGGGGAGGGGUGGCUUUGAAGAAGGAGCAGGACACUUGGGCCAGGUGGACCUUGGAAGGGUGCCAGGCAGGAGGAGCAAUGUGUUGCUGAUGGGCAGGUAGGGGAGGGUGAGGGAUGGAGAGGAGACCGGAAGACACCCUGUGCCAUGUGGAGGGGCCCUGCCCUCUGGGGCAAGAGGUCAGGGAGGAGGGCGCUGGCUGGGUUCCCAGGCGCCUGCCCCUGAGAGGCGCAAAUGGCCCUAAUGGGGUUAUUAGGUGGAGCAGAUGCAUCCGGCUCCUGCUGUGGAGGAAAUGCUCAAAUGAUCUUGAAGCUACCAGGCUGGGAGAGGCAGGCAGGGGAUGGGGCAGACAGGCUGCCAACCUCUGUGAGAUAAGCCCUGGCCUCUCCAGAACCUUUUCAGAACAGCUAUGAGCCCCAACCCUGGGGCUGAGUGACCCAAGACAGAUCACUCACACUCUCUGGGCCUCAGUUUCCCCUUACAUAAAAAGCAAUGGUUAGGCCAGGUGCAGAUGGCUCACACCUCUAAUCCUAGUGCUUUGGGAGGCCGAGGUGGGAGGAUUGCUUGAGACCAAGAGUUCAAGUCCAGCCUGGGCAACAUAGCAACACCCCAUCUCUACAAAACAUAAAUACAAAAAUUAAGGCCGGGCAUGGUGGUUAAGGCCAGGCGUGGUGGCUCACACUUGGAAUCCCAGCAUUUUGGGAGGCAGAAGCAGGAGGAUCACCUGAGGUCAGGAGUUUGAGACCAACCUGGCCAACAUGGUGAAAACCCGUCUCUAUACAAAAUACAAAAAUUAGCCAGCCAUGGUGGUGCAUGCCUGUAAUCCCUGCUACUGUGGAGGCUGAGGCAGGAGAAUCACUUGAACCCAGGUGAAGGAGGUUUCAGUGAGCCCAGAUCAUGCCACUGCACUCCAGCCUGGGUGACAGAGAACAAGACUGUCUCAAAACAAAACAAAAGAAAAAUUAGCCAGACAUGGUAGUGUGAACCUGCAGUCCCAGCUACUAUGGAGGCUGAGGUGGGAGGAUCGCUUGAGCCCAGGAGUUGGAGGCUGCAGUGAGCUAUGAUGGCACCCCUGGACACCAGCCUCUGUGACAGAGCAAGAGCCUGUCUCUAAAGUGAAACAUUUUUAAAAGGGAAGGUGAACUGGGUGAACUCUAAGACCCUGCAUUUCACAAACCCUUGCCCACACCCUGUAUGCGUCGGGCCCUGGCAGGAAACAGAUGGUACGCUGUCUCACAGGGCAAUUGAGAGCGUUUACAAAGGUGUGGGCAGCAUUAGGGGAAUGGACCAGAGAGGGUGACCUGGGACUUGGCUGUAAUGGGGCCCUAAGCACUCCUGGAUCUGAUUGCUGAUGGGAGGGAGGGAGUGAUGUUUCCCGAUCAGCAGGCAGUAGCCAUGGGUGAGGGGCCCCGCAGGAGCAGGGGCUGUAGGUGAAAGGAUGAAGCCACCAGAGGGAACUGGGCUCUGUCUUCCCGCCCCCUGAUCUCAUGCCAGUGCCUCCACUGGCCACACCUCACGAGAAGCAAGAGAGUGUGGGGUCUCAGUGGUGCAGUCCCUGGAGGCCAAUCUGCUGGGUCAGAGCAGGACAGAGAAAGCGAAAUGGACAUACGGAGGCACACGCCGCUUUCAUGCUGAUCCAGUGGAAUUAGAUCCUUCCUGUUCUUUCUUUUGUUUCUUUCUUUUUUUUUUUUUCCUUUUUUAGAGAUGGGGUCUCACUUUGUUGCCCAGGCUGGGGUAUGGUGGCGUCUUCAUAGCUCACUGUAGCACUGAACUCCUGGGCUCAGGCGAUCCUCCCACCUUGGCCUCCCAAAGUGCUGGGAUUACAGGCACUACAGGCACCUAGCUAACUUUCUUUUUUUUUGUAGAGGCAGGGUCUCUGUCACCCAGGCUUGAGUGCAGUGGCACGAUCAUAGCUCACUGCAGCCUUGAACCCCUGGGUUCAAGCAAUCCUCCCACCUCAGCCUCCCAAGUAGCUGGGAUUAUAGGUAUGUGCCACCACCCAGCUAAUUUUUUUAUUUUUUGUAGAGAUGGGGUCUCGCCAUGUUGCCCAGGCUAGUUUGGAACUCCUGAGCUCAAGAGAUGCUCCCACCUUGGCCUCCCAAAGUGCUGAAAUUACAAGCAUAAGCCACCAUGCCUGGCCUCCCUUCCUGGCCUUCUGGUCUCCAGACUGGAGAGAGGGCCACAAAGUCCUGCCCAGACAGAGGGCUGCUAAGGCUGGGGUGGGGCUGGGGGUGUGCAGAAGGGACUCUGCA